UACGGAGGAUGCGAGCGUUAUCCGGAUUUACUGGGUGUAAAGGGAGCGCAGGCGGCGCGUUAAGCCUGGUGUGAAAGCCCGCGGCCCAACCGCGGGACUGCAUUGGGAACUGGCGCGCUGGAGUGCCGGAGGGGUAGGCGGAAUUCCUAGUGUAGCGGUGAAAUGCGUAGAUAUUAGGAGGAACACCAGUGGCGAAGGCGGCCUACUGGACGGUGACUGACGCUGAGGCUCGAAAGCGUGGGGAGCAAACAGG
rnacentral:rRNA from 1 species